UGAAAGCUUGUAAAGUGGCAUUUAAAAACAUACACAUGAUAAUGAGCUCUGGAAUAAGCAAUGCCAAGUGCUCAGAAAGCCAGUGAAAUUUAGGGAAAAUCCUGAGACUGGUUAAAACACCUUCACAGAAAUAAACCGAUGGCUGUAAAAUAAGACACUGACAAUCUCCAAACACCUUUCUUUUCAAAUCUAGGUGAAAACCCUAGAAUACAUCAAGAGGCAGAGCAAACAGCCUGAAAUGAGUCAUUUCACAGACUUGGCCCUUCGGCUUCCUCUGCAGUCCAGGACCUGAAGAGUGCCUCUUCCAAGGAGUCACCUGCACAGGGCAGCAUGGAACCAAGGCCAGAAAUCACUGAUCUGCAUUCUGAGUGGAGGAGUUCAGUGUAUUCUUACUUUCCUCAGUGAUACACAUUUACUUGGGCACAGUAAAGGCAAGUAGCUGAGGGCUUGAAUUCAGCAUUUAUUUCAAACCAGAAGAGAAAACAGAACCUCAACUACCUGAAUUUUAGUAAAACAAGAGCCAAAACCUUGAAGGGCUGGUGGAAGCUGGUGCUGAACACUGAGAGCACUGAUGCAAAACAGCCUCUUGUUGAGGCAUGGCACACAUCUUCAGUCUUUGAAGGAGGCUCUCUCUUGCCCUGCAGAAAAAACAUGGUAAAGGUUUCA